rnacentral:lncRNA from 1 species
GUCUCUGCGUGUCCUGUACAGUGUAUUCCCCCAAAUGGAUAGGGAGGGCAUGGUUGCAGGCCUGGCCAGAUCAGGUGUCUGGGUUUUAUCCCUCGCCUGCGUGUGCGUGCUUGUAUCUAACUGUACCACUUCAAUUAGGUCAAGGUUACCUGGCCCCUGUAGAGACGUGGAGGCUCAGACAAUAAGACAAUUGGUCUUAGCUCAAUGCAAACAGUGCAAAGAUUGAUUACAUUUGCUGAGUCUGCUUGUGGACAGAGAGAUGUGCGGUGUGAGGACUGUCGGCAGGAGCAUUGAUAGUAUGACAGUGGAGCGUGAAGAGGGAGAGGGACGGAGGGAGGCUGCGUGGUGCUGGCAGAGGGACGGAGGACGAGGUGGGCACCAUGCGGCCUUUGCAAUGCAUUCAAAGCUUCGCCCAAAGCCUUAACUUAUCAGGAUACCGUAUUGCUUGAAGCAGGAGUGCCGUCGCUGGUCACGCAACUUAAGAGAACUGCAGGGAAACAAGCAUCGAACCGGGGGUCGUGAUGGAGGCAUAGAUUUUGCUCUUGCGGCUCCUCGGGCGCCUGGUACACAGGGACACUUUAUCAGUGCACGAUAGCUAUAAGACGAAACAAUAUGGUGGUUUGCCUCGGUGCAGAGAACAGCAGUGCUGACAACUGAGCGCUCCCAAUUGUUGCCUUCUCUCCUACUGGAACUAUGACCGAGCCAAGCACCAGUGGCAAGCGCCAUAGAGAGGAUGAAGGUGUUGGAAACCUCGGCUGGCUGGCGAGCAGCGGUAUGCUGCCUCGCAAGCGGCAAGACAUUUCGGGAGUCGGCAAUGCGAGCAUUAUGGAGCUACAAGCACAACUUUAUCGCACGCAAGAAAAUGUGAAAUUGAAAGCAAGUGGCGUCGAGGUCCCCGACCGGCGAACUUCGGGGUUCAACGUCGCAUCGCUUAUGCAGCGACGAAACACGGGCGUGGAAGAGCGCGAUCGACGGGACAAGCUUGAAGUCAAGGUGAGGCGGGGUCUGGGAGUCCGCAAAUGCGACGUAGGGGCGGUGCUACGCUUGACGCGGACACUGGCCUCAGCAGUUCUGGACGACGCCCCGCGCGGUUUCCCCUCCACGCCCCUCCCGCACAGACCACCGCUGACCGCGUCGGGGAGUGUUACGCCGCGCUAGAGCGCAAGGCGCAACUAUACGAGAAACUAGGUAGGCGCUGCGACUGCUGCAGCCGUGCGCCGUGAACAAUGCCACACGGCACCACUGCCAUCCCUACCCCGCCAUUCCACCACGGCCACGUUGCACACCCCUCGCCGUCGAUGUAUGCGGACUCGCACAGGCUGUCCAGCUCGCCAUCUUCCACACGGCUACCAUAUGCCUGUACAAACUCCCUCGACCCUUUGCCAGCCCUAUCUACCCAUUGAUCGCUGUGCUUCUGCUCGACCGCUGUUCCGCUGCUGUUGCUGCUGCUGCUGCUACUGCUGCUGCUGCCGCAGCUCGCGGCGAGUUGGACGACGAGGGCGAGCAGUACGAGGUGGACUUCCUGCGCAAGGGCGGGGCGGCGGAGGAGGAGGCGGGUGGAGGCGAGGGCCGGCGCGGCGGCGACCUGGUGGACACCAUGCUGCAGGCAGUGUCGGGGACAGGUGAGGCGGGGGCGGAUGGGGGCAAGGAGUCCACGGGCCUUGUAGUCGGACUGCCCGAGCCGCCACCCUGACGGAGAGGGUCAACAAGUGUGUGCUGCGGCUGACCUGUCGGCAGAGCGUGUUGCUGCUGUUCGGCGCUCGGCCCGCGGGAUCUCACCACCCUCAGCCCCCGCCGCUGCUCGGCUGCAACCAUUGAGGCAGGACAGCAAGGGUUUAGGCAGGGUAGUAUGGACUGAGGCAGGGUAAUGCGGACUGGGCAAGGCAACCACCCGACACAUAGCGUGUCCCGGUCUAUUGUAUUCUUCUCUUGUGCGGAGACCGCACGUCUGAACCGCUCCUACUCCGCGCUGCACUUGCGCUCCUGACCACCUCCUGGCCACCUGUCGGCAUGCGGCCCCGCACACAGGCGGCAUGAUGACUGCGGACAUGGCGCGGGAACGGGAGCGGCGCGACUGGGAGCGGGACCAGCAGCGCAUCAUGGCGGACGAGGAGGCGGAGGAGCGGAGGCGGAAGCAGAAAGAGGUGCGUCCAACACAAGCGGAGGUCGGGGACCAAUGGCACCAUUGUUGUAUGCUGUUUAACCCGGGUUACCCUAUGCCGGCGAUGCUGCCUGUGAGCAGUUGAUAAGCAGUGCCUAACCUGCGGUGGCACGUCGUCGCAUGCGGUUUGCACAGGCGCUGCUUUGGCUUGUGGGGGCUGUCGGUGGAGGCGCUGCUGCCCGAGGUGACGGUGCCGGUGCCUGAGGUCCUGCGCAGCCGCAGCGAGUGGUGCACCACCUACCUGGAUGAGGACAUGCGGGUGGGGCGCGGCAGCGGCGGCGCGCUGUUCCUGUUCCGGCGCGGCGGCGCGGACGACGUCACCGAGGCGGCGGGCGCCAUGGGCGGCAGCCUGGGUGCGGGCUCCGGCAUGGGCAUGGGCUUGGGCGUGGGCUUGGGCGCGGUGGCUGCGGAUGCCCGCGCGCCGGUGAUGCGGCCGCUGUGAGGCGCGUGGGAGGAGGGGCGGGUGGCAGGAGGGAAGUGGAGCCUGGCGGCCGGCGCCGCGGGUGUGUAGCGGUGUGCCCGUGUGUGUGCGGGUGCGUGUACGUGUACGUGUACGUGUACGUGUACGUGUACGUGUACGUGUACGUGUACGUGUACGUGUGUGUGUGUGUGUGUGUGUGUGUGUACAUGUGUGUGUGUCUACAUGUGUGUGUACAUGUGUGUGUACAUGUGUGUGUACAUGUGUGUACCUGUGUGUACAUGUGUGUACAUGUGUGUGUGUGUGUUGAGGUGGGCAUGGUGUGGCUGUGUGGGCGAGGAGGAGCACAGCGCUUCCAUCCGGCACUUGUGAGACAUGUCACAAUUUAUCAUCAUUUUAUCGCGGCAGGCAGUCCUAUGCAUGAGCAAUUCAUGGCGGUGCGCAUGGCGUGGAAUGGAGUGAAUUGAUGUUGUCAGGGGGCUGGUUGCAAUGGCCGAUACCGGUACCUGUGGUCCUGUGCGUCUCUGCGUGUCCUGUACAGUGUAUUCCCCCAAAUGGAUAGGGAGGGCAUGGUUGCAGGCCUGGCCAGAUCAGGUGUCUGGGUUUUAUCCCUCGCCUGCGUGUGCGUGCUUGUAUCUAACUGUACCACUUNNNNNNNNNNNNNNNNNNNNNNNNNNNNNNNNNNNNNNNNNNNNNNNNNNNNNNNNNNNNNNNNNNNNNNNNNNNNNNNNNNNNNNNNNNNNNNNNNNNNACGCGGACACUGGCCUCAGCAGUUCUGGACGACGCCCCGCGCGGUUUCCCCUCCACGCCCCUCCCGCACAGACCACCGCUGACCGCGUCGGGGAGUGUUACGCCGCGCUAGAGCGCAAGGCGCAACUAUACGAGAAACUAGGUAGGCGCUGCGACUGCUGCAGCCGUGCGCCGUGAACAAUGCCACACGGCACCACUGCCAUCCCUACCCCGCCAUUCCACCACGGCCACGUUGCACACCCCUCGCCGUCGAUGUAUGCGGACUCGCACAGGCUGUCCAGCUCGCCAUCUUCCACACGGCUACCAUAUGCCUGUACAAACUCCCUCGACCCUUUGCCAGCCCUAUCUACCCAUUGAUCGCUGUGCUUCUGCUCGACCGCUGUUCCGCUGCUGUUGCUGCUGCUGCUGCUACUGCUGCUGCUGCCGCAGCUCGCGGCGAGUUGGACGACGAGGGCGAGCAGUACGAGGUGGACUUCCUGCGCAAGGGCGGGGCGGCGGAGGAGGAGGCGGGUGGAGGCGAGGGCCGGCGCGGCGGCGACCUGGUGGACACCAUGCUGCAGGCAGUGUCGGGGACAGGUGAGGCGGGGGCGGAUGGGGGCAAGGAGUCCACGGGCCUUGUAGUCGGACUGCCCGAGCCGCCACCCUGACGGAGAGGGUCAACAAGUGUGUGCUGCGGCUGACCUGUCGGCAGAGCGUGUUGCUGCUGUUCGGCGCUCGGCCCGCUGGAUCUCACCACCCUCAGCCCCCGCCGCUGCUCGGCUGCAACCAUUGAGGCAGGACAGCAAGGGUUUAGGCAGGGUAGUAUGGACUGAGGCAGGGUAAUGCGGACUGGGCAAGGCAACCACCCGACACAUAGCGUGUCCCGGUCUAUUGUAUUCUUCUCUUGUGCGGAGACCGCACGUCUGAACCGCUCCUACUCCGCGCUGCACUUGCGCUCCUGACCACCUCCUGGCCACCUGUCGGCAUGCGGCCCCGCACACAGGCGGCAUGAUGACUGCGGACAUGGCGCGGGAACGGGAGCGGCGCGACUGGGAGCGGGACCAGCAGCGCAUCAUGGCGGACGAGGAGGCGGAGGAGCGGAGGCGGAAGCAGAAAGAGGUGCGUCCAACACAAGCGGAGGUCGGGGACCAAUGGCACCAUUGUUGUAUGCUGUUUAACCCGGGUUACCCUAUGCCGGCGAUGCUGCCUGUGAGCAGUUGAUAAGCAGUGCCUAACCUGCGGUGGCACGUCGUCGCAUGCGGUUUGCACAGGCGCUGCUUUGGCUUGUGGGGGCUGUCGGUGGAGGCGCUGCUGCCCGAGGUGACGGUGCCGGUGCCUGAGGUCCUGCGCAGCCGCAGCGAGUGGUGCACCACCUACCUGGAUGAGGACAUGCGGGUGGGGCGCGGCAGCGGCGGCGCGCUGUUCCUGUUCCGGCGCGGCGGCGCGGACGACGUCACCGAGGCGGCGGGCGCCAUGGGCGGCAGCCUGGGUGCGGGCUCCGGCAUGGGCAUGGGCUUGGGCGUGGGCUUGGGCGCGGUGGCUGCGGAUGCCCGCGCGCCGGUGAUGCGGCCGCUGUGAGGCGCGUGGGAGGAGGGGCGGGUGGCAGGAGGGAAGUGGAGCCUGGCGGCCGGCGCCGCGGGUGUGUAGCGGUGUGCCCGUGUGUGUGCGGGUGCGUGUACGUGUACGUGUACGUGUACGUGUACGUGUACGUGUACGUGUACGUGUACGUGUACGUGUACGUGUACGUGUACGUGUACGUGUGUGUGUGUGUGUGUGUGUGUGUGUGUGUGUGUGUACAUGUGUGUGUGUACAUGUGUGUGUACAUGUGUGUGUACAUGUGUGUGUACAUGUGUGUACCUGUGUGUACAUGUGUGUACAUGUGUGUGUGUGUGUGUGUGUUGAGGUGGGCAUGGUGUGGCUGUGUGGGCGAGGAGGAGCACAGCGCUUCCAUCCGGCACUUGUGAGACAUGUCACAAUUUAUCAUCAUUUUAUCGCGGCAGGCAGUCCUAUGCAUGAGCAAUUCAUGGCGGUGCGCAUGGCGUGGAAUGGAGUGAAUUGAUGUUGUCAGGGGGCUGGUUGCAAUGGCCGAUACCGGUACCUGUGGUCCUGUGCGUCUCUGCGUGUCCUGUACAGUGUAUUCCCCCAAAUGGAUAGGGAGGGCAUGGUUGCAGGCCUGGCCAGAUCAGGUGUCUGGGUUUUAUCCCUCGCCUGCGUGUGCGUGCUUGUAUCUAACUGUACCACUUCAAUUAGGUCAAGGUUACCUGGCCCCUGUAGAGACGUGGAGGCUCAGACAAUAAGACAAUUGGUCUUAGCUCAAUGCAAACAGUGCAAAGAUUGAUUACAUUUGCUGAGUCUGCUUGUGGACAGAGAGAUGUGCGGUGUGAGGACUGUCGGCAGGAGCAUUGAUAGUAUGACAGUGGAGCGUGAAGAGGGAGAGGGACGGAGGGAGGCUGCGUGGUGCUGGCAGAGGGACGGAGGACGAGGUGGGCACCAUGCGGCCUUUGCAAUGCAUUCAAAGCUUCGCCCAAAGCCUUAACUUAUCAGGAUACCGUAUUGCUUGAAGCAGGAGUGCCGUCGCUGGUCACGCAACUUAAGAGAACUGCAGGGAAACAAGCAUCGAACCGGGGGUCGUGAUGGAGGCAUAGAUUUUGCUCUUGCGGCUCCUCGGGCGCCUGGUACACAGGGACACUUUAUCAGUGCACGAUAGCUAUAAGACGAAACAAUAUGGUGGUUUGCCUCGGUGCAGAGAACAGCAGUGCUGACAACUGAGCGCUCCCAAUUGUUGCCUUCUCUCCUACUGGAACUAUGACCGAGCCAAGCACCAGUGGCAAGCGCCAUAGAGAGGAUGAAGGUGUUGGAAACCUCGGCUGGCUGGCGAGCAGCGGUAUGCUGCCUCGCAAGCGGCAAGACAUUUCGGGAGUCGGCAAUGCGAGCAUUAUGGAGCUACAAGCACAACUUUAUCGCACGCAAGAAAAUGUGAAAUUGAAAGCAAGUGGCGUCGAGGUCCCCGACCGGCGAACUUCGGGGUUCAACGUCGCAUCGCUUAUGCAGCGACGAAACACGGGCGUGGAAGAGCGCGAUCGACGGGACAAGCUUGAAGUCAAGGUGAGGCGGGGUCUGGGAGUCCGCAAAUGCGACGUAGGGGCGGUGCUACGCUUGACGCGGACACUGGCCUCAGCAGUUCUGGACGACGCCCCGCGCGGUUUCCCCUCCACGCCCCUCCCGCACAGACCACCGCUGACCGCGUCGGGGAGUGUUACGCCGCGCUAGAGCGCAAGGCGCAACUAUACGAGAAACUAGGUAGGCGCUGCGACUGCUGCAGCCGUGCGCCGUGAACAAUGCCACACGGCACCACUGCCAUCCCUACCCCGCCAUUCCACCACGGCCACGUUGCACACCCCUCGCCGUCGAUGUAUGCGGACUCGCACAGGCUGUCCAGCUCGCCAUCUUCCACACGGCUACCAUAUGCCUGUACAAACUCCCUCGACCCUUUGCCAGCCCUAUCUACCCAUUGAUCGCUGUGCUUCUGCUCGACCGCUGUUCCGCUGCUGUUGCUGCUGCUGCUGCUACUGCUGCUGCUGCCGCAGCUCGCGGCGAGUUGGACGACGAGGGCGAGCAGUACGAGGUGGACUUCCUGCGCAAGGGCGGGGCGGCGGAGGAGGAGGCGGGUGGAGGCGAGGGCCGGCGCGGCGGCGACCUGGUGGACACCAUGCUGCAGGCAGUGUCGGGGACAGGUGAGGCGGGGGCGGAUGGGGGCAAGGAGUCCACGGGCCUUGUAGUCGGACUGCCCGAGCCGCCACCCUGACGGAGAGGGUCAACAAGUGUGUGCUGCGGCUGACCUGUCGGCAGAGCGUGUUGCUGCUGUUCGGCGCUCGGCCCGCGGGAUCUCACCACCCUCAGCCCCCGCCGCUGCUCGGCUGCAACCAUUGAGGCAGGACAGCAAGGGUUUAGGCAGGGUAGUAUGGACUGAGGCAGGGUAAUGCGGACUGGGCAAGGCAACCACCCGACACAUAGCGUGUCCCGGUCUAUUGUAUUCUUCUCUUGUGCGGAGACCGCACGUCUGAACCGCUCCUACUCCGCGCUGCACUUGCGCUCCUGACCACCUCCUGGCCACCUGUCGGCAUG